rnacentral:ncRNA from 1 species
UGGUAGAGGUGCGGCAAAAAUCAGUAUCGAUUAAAAACUCCGGGAAGAGCAGUCGGGAAAGGGUUUGCCGCCGAAGUCCAGAAAGAAUUCCCGUUCUUGUUGGGCUGGGCCGCAGCAAAAGAUGCUGCGGACUGUCACAUUUUUUUGUGGAGCGCUAUCGUG